GCCAGCCAAGUAUGGACUGAACCUCCACAAACUGGACUCGGCCAGCAGCAGAACCAUCAAAGGAAGACCUUACGUCACAAUGGUCCUUUUUCAGCCAGAGCUUCUCCUUCUAGGUCCAGGAACAGCUCCUCCCUGGCCCCACCAGCGUGGGGUGGUGACAGCUAUGAGGUGAUGCUAUCGCCAGGGUCCUGUGUAACGUGUCAUGGUUUCCCGGGACACCUGUAUACCCACUCAAUUAUCCCCCUCCGAGGUCCUGGCCAGCUACCGUCCCACAGGAAUGGGAUACCUCCACAAACCAAGCACGUGAGGACUAACACUUCUAUGAGUGUGUGAGAAAUUACACCCAGCUUUGGAAUGGGGAAAAGAGAAGUGAAAGAAAAAUGUUUCUUCUAUUCUAGGUCUAUGCUUACCAGUUAUCUCAUUGUCUUUUGUGAAGCCUACACAGCAGUGCAAAGUACAAUUGCUAAUGUGUAAAAUUAGAGAUUAUAUUUUUUAAAAGGAAACUGCUUAUCAUCACACCGAGCUUGCAGUAACACUGCCUGUGCAUGGCUUGGGAGAAGGACUCGAUGGGAGGAUCCGUGGGUCACAUGCGGACCAGGUGUGUGUUUUCAGUCAAGUCUCCUUAUCUCUCUGCACCUGAUUUGUCACCCGAAGACUGACAGCAAUAGCAAGGCUGUUGUGAAAAUUACCUAAAUUAAAAUAAGCAAAGGUCUUACCACAACUGUCCACGGCACACAGUCAGCACCACGCCUCUGUUUUCCAUUAUUAUUCUUCUGAAAGACUGAAGACACAGCCACCGGCUGGGCCUUGGAUUCCUCUUCACAGUGUCAGAGGUCUUUCUGGCUGAGAAACAUCCCCUGUUCAUUCCUUUGCCUUUGAACAAACUUCAGAAAGACCUGGGAAACUGGUAUAAAGGCAGACAGUCCACGGUCAAAGCUAGGCUGACAGCCGUAUACAUGCCUCUAUGGACAUUUUUAUACACAUAUAUGCACCAACACACGUGUGCAUAUAGUUGUGCAAUUGCACACAGUCACACGUAGACUUACACACCGUCACCCACACAGUCUCACAUACUGAACUAGGCCGACUUAGAGCCUGUUAUCCCCAUAUUGUCCAGCAGAGGGCGCAGCCUCCACACUCAGGAGCAGAAGAGGCCUCCACAGCAGCCAGGGGCAGGACUCGGCCUGGUUGUUCUGCGAGAAUCACAUACGCAGAUGUAGCAGCAGCGUCCUGGGGACCUGCAGACCCACCCUUCCCACCCUCUCCAUCCACUCACCGUCACGGUCCUUCGAGGGAUCUCAAAGCCUAUUUGGAAUAAGAAAGAAGACUUUAAUAUACCCCAAGUAUAAAUUCCCCUUUAGAAACUCUGUCCACAUGGGCAAAGAUUACAUGAAAAUGCAGGAGAAGGAAGAGGAAGAGGAGAGAGAGGAGGAAGAAGAAAAGGUGGAGUGGAACGAGGAGAAGAAGAAAGAACUGGAUGGGUACGAGCAGCUAUUAACAAUGCUUAUUUAACAUGCUGGUAGUGGAGGUGAUUUUUGUCUUGCUUUUGCUUGCUUACACUCCUAUAACUAUGUCUUGGCAUAAAACACAUCUCAACCUUCCACUGAGAGUAUACCAAAUGUUUUUCAUCUCAUUUUGCACUGUUCAUUUCUCAUUUCAUAACCAUAUUCAGCACAGGUGACCAGUCUGUGGCCUCCCCAAGGCCCUCACCCUUGGACUCUGUGCUGCAGGAGGACUCUAUGCUGUAAGUGGGCACUAAUCUCCUUCAUGACUGACCGUGACCUCCCCAAAGCCCCGCCUCUAAAUGCCAGAAUUCUGGGGACUGUGUUCCACUGCAUAAUCUUUGCAGAGACACAACACACCAUGGCGUGGAUCCAGUGUCAUCUGACCUGACUUUUUCUAUCUAUCUGCUUCGUGUUCCUUACAGAGCAGUCCUUGUCCUCAUGGUGAGAGAUGGAGCCACCACAUCAAUACUGCAGUUGGCGGGGAGGAGGAAAGGGCAGGAUAGGCAGGAAAAGUAUCCUGAAUUACCGUGUGUUACGGCUUGUACCUAGAUGUCCCCCAAAGCUUCAUGCAGUCAUAGGUGGG